rnacentral:lncRNA from 1 species
CGUACCCCAUCUCCUGGAGCAUUCGUCGAAGGAACGACUAGCUCAUCCAAUCAUACGUCCACUCCAUAUCCAGCUUGAUCGUCAAGAAGCUGCAACGAUAAGGAGAUCUCAGAAGAUCGUGCAUAAACUCCUGAGCCAACAUAACAUUAUUGAUGAUAGACCGACCAUCAACAAAAGCAUCCUGCUCCAAAUUGAUCAUGCAAGGCAUCAACGGCUUCAAACGUCCAACCAAAAUCCUCGCACACACCUUAUAGAGGAUGGUGCAA